GCCCUUGUAGCUCAAUUGGAUAGAGCGCUUCGCUUCGGACGAAGAGGUUUUGGGGGUUCGAGUCCCUCCAAGGGCG
rnacentral:tRNA from 1 species